ACGAAGCAUCGUAAUUAGCAUAACUCGAAUUAGAUUUACAAAUACACGAUGAUACAAGACUAUGAUAUUUUAUUAAUCAUAUGACACCUUUCAACAUCCUACCUAUUACAUGAAAAAGAAAAANAAAAAGAAAAAGAAAAGAUAAGGUGUGUGCACAAGGGCAUCGUCCCUUUCACUAGACACACUAGUACAUCAACCUACUCAUAGACACCACCUACUCACUACAGCCACCCUACAGCCACCCUACACUCUACCACCUAUUCAUUAGCAUGCUCCAGCAGCCCCAAGUCCUCCAAUCACCUCCACUCUACCCUGCACCUAUUCUCUAGCAUACUCAAGAGUGCAGCCAACACCCUCUCUUAACAUCUGCCAAGCGACCUCUUCACCUCUUCAUUCUUCACUAAAGAGAUCAGAUCACUGAAGAGCAGGAGAACUCCUGCCCAUUGCUCUGUCAACUUCAAGGUAAGACUUGGCUUUAAUUCAUCCAACUCCUUCCACAUCUACUCCUGCAUUGAUUAAGAGGAACAACAACCUUGAAUAUUUCAGAUUUUUCGAUUCAUUUAAUCCAACAACACCAGACAGCCAACAAAGCAAAAGACUCAAGGUAUUACUACUUUUUCAUACUCAAUUUAGCCGCACUCAUAUCCAGUACAUGGUCAGUUAAGAAACACCAUAAAUAGGAGAACAAGCAUGAUAGACAAACAAUACCAAUGUAUAAUAUGAGGAUGUGCAUAAGUCAGUUUACUUCCAUCAAGAACCACAACAGCCUAUGACCUUUAUACGAGCUAAAUGCAGUAAGGAUUUCUUUGAUACAACAGCAAGUUCAGUGCUUAGUGCAAUUUAUUGCAUAAUCCUUAUAUGGAAACCAAGACUUCACUGUAGAGCUAUAGAUUGACCUAGCUUUUAGAGAGGGCGGGGGCUACUGCCCUGUUGUUCGGGCCGAAGGACGUCGAGUGGACGGCAACUCGCGGGAACAGCAGCGUCGGCCGCGUCGAGCGGUGAAAGGCAGACGACUCUCGAUCACAGCGAUGGCCCCUCGCCGAUUUUGGAGUAGCAGCAGUGGGCGGCGUACCUUCACCAAAACCAGCAGCAGCGUGGCUGAACCGAAGGUGAGAACGACCAGCACUGACUGAUUCGCCGGAUCCCGGAGCCGCGGCGGCGGACUCCUCGGCUGAGGACGGAUCGAGAGAAAGAGAUGGCUGCGGUGCGUGAGUUGAUGCGAAAGAGAGAGAAGAGGUGGAAGAAGCAGAUCGAUCCCUGGAUUCUGAGCGGCGGCCGCUCGCCGGCGGCUGGGACGGCCAGAGCAGGGGCGACGAACCCUGGUUUUGAGAGUUAGGGCUUCUCACCGUAGCCUUCAAUCGGAAGAGAAGGGGCUCCAGACGAGGAGUAAGGCUCGAACGGGGCAACUGGAACGGCCGGUGGUAGCAGACGGCAGCUGAACGGCCGGAGAAGAGAAGCCGGCCAGAGGAGUUGAGAGAGAGGCCGAGCGGUUUCUGAGAGAGAGGCCGAACGGCGUGAGUUGAGGGAGAGAGAGACCGAGUGGUGUUAAGGGUUGGGCUUCCCCUUUUGCCUUGGGCUUGAUUUAUGUUUCCUUUGGGCCGAAAGUUGGGCCUUCUUUUUAUGUGAGCUGCAGAUUUUAAUUGUUUUGGGCUUGGGUUAUUUCUUUUAAUUGGCCCGAUUUUAAUUCAGUAGAAUGGGCUGGAUGAUUAAUUCAGUUGGGCUUUUCACUAUUUAAUUCAUGCCCACUUUCAUUUAAUUAAUUAUCAGGCUGCCUUAUGUUGAGCCUUUUAAUUAUUUCGAACUUAUAAUAUUAUUUUCGUUCUUAUUUAUUAAGCCCGAUUAACCUUUACGAGAUUAUUAAGCGAAUAAUUCGAUUGAGCUAUUUUAUUUUAAUCGAUUACGGAGCGUGACCUAUUAUAAUUAUCAAGUGGAAUAGAACACUCUAGAUAAGCGGAUUCAUUAUAGUUAUUAUCCGACCUCAUGCGACGAGCCUUAUUUAAGUUAUUUAAUUUAUUUAAUCCGAGAGUUAGGAUUAAUAGUAGAUUUCCCGGACUAUUAAGCAAGAAUAAUAAAUCAUGCAUAAGAGAGUCAUGCAUAUUUAUUUUCGCAUUCUCAUUAUUUGAGAAUUCUGCUCGAGCAAAUUUCUUAUUUAAAGUUCUCGCAAUAAAGGUCAAGCGGGAGAGCAAUAACUAGAUUAAGAGCCACUACACCAUAACAAGAGUUGCUAUCAGGUGGGCAUUACUUUCAUAUAUAUCAAAUGAGUUUCAAAUUACAGUUGAACAGUUAUUUCAUUGCAAAAUCCUUGAACUGAAAGUUAUUUCAAGUAUUGUCUUGCCAUAAAAUGUUUCAAUUUCAGUAUGAUAUCUAUCUGAUGUGGCUUUGCCAAGUUAUGUAAUCGAAUUCGGGUCCUGAGCAGUUGAUAGCUAUCCUGCCAGGGCUAGUGUACACCCAGGGCCGUGAGUCAUCUAGCGGGUUGGCCGGUCAAGUGACCGUGAGAGGUGGCCACCUCUCCGGCACACAGCUUCAGAUAUGAUAGAUUAUAAGAACUUAGACUGCAGUCGAACUUUAAGAAUCACAAAUGAAUUUAGUAAGCUUGGGCCUUUUCACGAAAACUCCCUUGCUGUACUGUUUAUGAUGGCAUGACAAUUUACAGUUUUGAAGCAUGUAUUUUUAUACUUAGGCAUACGUGCCCACUGAGUACUUUGUACUCAGCCCUGCAUAUAUUUCUAAAUGUGCAGGUUGAGCAGCUGGUGGUGGUGAUGAAGUGACGAGCGAGAAUCUUUUGUCUUAUUUAUGUAUUAAUGAACUCUGGGGUUACAUGUCUUCAUACAUGUAAUCAGAACCUUAUUCCGCUGCGUACUCAGAAGUAUUAUGUUAUUUUGGCUAAGUCGGAAUUAUCCGAACUUACUAGUUUGUUUGAGUCAAUAUGACUUAACCUCCGUUAUAUUAUAAAUAUUCCUUUUGUUAACAAUGAUUAAAUACUAUCCUUCCUUGUUUAAUUAUUCCCCUUUCUACCCCGCUUCUAAUCUCCCUCCCUUAGUCACGAUUUUCCCGGCUUAAUUAUCCUUAAUUAGGUUCGGUCGUGACAGAGUGGUAUCAGAGCAGUUCAUUUGCUCUGAACCCUAGAGUUAAACAAUUUUUCUAGUAUGAUCACUAGUAUAUAAUAGUCAGUCAACCAAAGCUCAACACUUCAUCACAUCGCCAUGCUCAACCAGGAAGAAGAAGGUAAAGGUUUUCAAAAGUUGAAAGUUUAUAUUUCGCGCGAAUGUGCAAGUGUUUACAUUCAUGUUUAUGCUUUAUUGAGAAGAUGACUCAAUGAACUUAGAUGCGUUAAGAAUGCAUGAUCACUAUUAUGAGAAGAACAAUAGAAGCUAGAAACUCAGUUAUCUUUCACUAUAGCUAUGGUGAAGAGCUAAAGAAAGAAAAAGAGAAUCCCAUGAAAAGCAGUGUAAGCGGAGUUUCACGCACGAGCAGUGGCGCAGGCAUAGUUCUUCAUUCAGGUUGUUCAUGAGUGACAGGCACCGAAUCGACUAUUGCCUUAUUUGAUGAUAGAUCAUGUGAUUCAUUGCUCGUAGCGACGAGUGUGACUUAUGUAAUCAGCUAGCUAUCGCAUAAUGAGCUAAGACUCAUUACUAACUCUCGAUUAUCACCAGUUAUGGCAUGAAGAGAACCUUCAUGAUUUAUGUUUGAACUUCAGAGUCGGACUCAUAUGCAGUUAUAACACUUUGUGUAUGAUGUUAUAGCAUCGCGAUUAGAACUGCCAGCUUACAGUUUCAGAUAUUCAGAACCUUUAUGAUUACAAUUACCUAUUAUAUUACACGUGAGCAUGAUUUAGAAUCCCUAUUGAUUACGAUCACCUGCUACAAAUCGAAAGGAGGAUAGGUGCCAUGGUAACUAGAAGUUACCAACCAUUAUGAUUGACUAGAAAAAUCUAUACAAGUGUGUAAGACGAGANAUUAUUGUUAUUAUUAUUAUUAUUGUUAAUUGUUAUUAUUAUUAUUAUUAUUGUUAUUGUUAUUUAUCGUUAUUAUUAUUAUUAUUAUUCGUUAUUAUUAUUAUUUUAUUAUUAUUAUUAUUGUUAUCGUUAUUAUUAUUAUUAUUAUUAUUAUUAUUAUUAUUAUUAUUAUUAUUAUUGUUAUUAUUCUUGUUAUUGUUAUUGUUAUUAUUAUUAUUAUCCUUAUUAUAUUAUUAUCCUUAUUAUUGUUAUUAUUAUUAUUAUUAUUAUUAUUAUUAUUGUUAUUAUUAUUAUUGUUGUUGUUGUUAUUAUUGUCAUUAUUAUUAUUAUUAUCAAAUAGCUAGUGAAAGAUUAGUAAAAGUAAUUACAAUACAUAAACACUACCCUUUUAGUCUUUUACACCACCUUUACACCACCUUUUUCAGCUUUCUUAGUCUCCGUGCCGAACCCCAACUGGGAGUUUAUUUCGUGAACGGAGGGAGUACUUAGAUUUUAUGACGGAGCGUCGUAAUUAGCAUAACUCGAAUUAGAUUUACAAAUACACGAUGAUACAAGACUAUGAUAUUUUAUUAAUCAUAUGACACCUUUCAACAUCCUACCUAUUACAUGAAAAUGGAAAAAGGAAAAGAGAAGGUGUGUGCACAAGGGCAGCGUCCCCUUCACUAGACACUAGUACAACAGCCUACUCAUAGACACCAGUGCAACAGCUUCACUCUUUCCCCUACAGCCCCCAAAUCAACUCAAAGCCAAAGCCAUGGUGCAGAGAGAGAUCAAAUCAGCCACUCUACCUCUGUACCAUCUCCGUAGAAUGCUCAAGUGUUCAGCCAACAACCAUUCCCUCUUAGUCUCAAACCUCCAGCCAGCAAUCUCACUUCAUUCUCCCCCAUUCCACUAAGGACUUUUGAGAGAGAAAUGGGAGAAUUCAUUGCUGCUGCAAGACUUCAAAGGAGUUUGUCUCCACGGGAAUCAAUAGCAACACAACAGCCACCCAACACAAAACAACCAAGGUAUUUACUAUCCCAUAUGCCCUCUUUCAUGUUAUACAUUUCACGCCCCAACACAAUCGAUGAACAGUUCUUUUUUUUUGAGAUACAGACAAUACGCAUAUGAAUAUAGCUGAACCAUGAGUUUCUGUAAUUGAGAAUAACCGAAAGCAUGUUACAGAAAUAUAAUAACUCAAUCAGUUUUUAUUCACAAGACAAAAGGCAUAAAUGGCAUCAACAGACUAGAAUUUUAUGCGAGAUAAGUGCGUUUUAACAGAUUAGCUUUUGAACCAAGUACUCAAGAUAGCAUUAACAUUUAUGAGAUUCAUAGAGUACUAGAUACCACAAGAAUUCCUUUUACACCGCAAUUGGGGAUCGAACUUAGCAUUUGGGGGAAAGUGGGGAGGGCAUUGUGUUGUACCUGUUCCAUUAAACAAGGAGAAGGGCGGAUGCCUUGAUUCCAUCGGACCAGAGAAGCAGCGACUCGACGGCGUCGAACCAGAGAGAAGAAUGUGGUCGGAAACGGCCGUCUGCUCCGUUGGGUUCCGGAAAAAAGGGUCGCCGGAUUUUGGGACAGGGGCGGCGGGCCGCUAGUCCUUGUGAGCGGAGGAUUCAGCGAGGAUGAGAGAUUGAGAGAGGAAGGGCAAUGGGGCUGGAGUCAGAGGCGGGGGAAAGAGUCGACCUCGCCAGAAUUUGCAGAACAGCGGCUGUAAUUUCUGAGGUCGAAGCUAGGGCUCGACUUCUGCCUCGAAAUGUGAGUGGAAUCGGUGGCGAGGCGCGGCCUCAUCGGAAAUUCAAAGGUUCUGGCGUGAGGCAACAAUUCAAGCCGGCGACGUGAAGGUGUCCUCGACGGAAGCGCGG
rnacentral:lncRNA from 1 species